AAGUCGUAACAAGGUAACCGUAGGUGAACCUGCGGUUGGAUCAUUAAAAAGAUCUUAGCCUGCACCCUUCUUGUGGACUGCUUGCGGGCCACACAACCAGGGACGAGGCUGAAUUCCCCGAAAUGGGAAUAACAUCAUGUGAACUGUUCUGUCUCUGGCGGUGGGAUGGCUAAAAACCAUCUGUCAGCAUCCGAGAUUUCUCUCGGUGUGCCGUGGACAAGCCGCCAACGUUGUAUGUUUCAUACAAACUUUUUGUUUCAUUAAAAUUGUCUGACCUACCUUUGUAUCUAAAAUAUACAAAAACAACUUUUGGCAACGGAUCUCUUGGCUCCC
rnacentral:misc_RNA from 1 species